GUAGGUAACCUGCCUGGUANCGGGGAUACUAUUGGAAACGAUAGCUAAUACCGCAUAAGAGUAGAUGUUGCAUGACAUUUGCUUAAAAGGUGCAAUUGCAUCACUACCAGAUGGACCUGCGUUGUAUUAGCUAGUUGGUGGGGUGACGGCUCACCAAGGCGACGAUACAUAGCCGACCUGAGAGGGUGAUCGGCCACACUGGGACUGAGACACGGCCCAGACUCCUACGGGAGGCAGCAGAC
rnacentral:rRNA from 1 species